GUGAGUUGGUGUACGAUUACUGUUACGACAGAGGAAACUCCUCCCUUCAUACAGGAUAUGUGAUCUGGAGAUAGAUAAUCAGAGAUGGUUGGCAACAGCAUAGAAAAAUAAUUCGAUCUAACAUGUACUGUGAGGAUGUAAGAGUCUGAGGUUGUUAGUGGAGAAAUGGAAAAGCUGUCCCACAUGAAGCAAAGCCGAACAAAACAAUAAGUUCCUGUACUCAGUUUAGGUAGGCUGCAAAGUUAAAUAUCGUAAAAACAGAAGGAGGGUUACUACCAACACAC
rnacentral:RNase_P_RNA from 1 species